rnacentral:rRNA from 1 species
CCCUGCUUUUGUGGGGUGCUCGAGUGGCGAACGGGUGAGUGACACGUGAGUAACCUGCCCUUGACUUUGGGAUAACUUCAGGAAACUGGGGCUAAUACCGGAUAGGAGCUCCUGCUGCAUGGUGGGGGUUGGAAAGUUUCGGCGGUUGGGGAUGGACUCGCGGCUUAUCAGCUUGUUGGUGGGGUAGUGGCUUACCAAGGCUUUGACGGGUAGCCGGCCUGAGAGGGUGACCGGCCACAUUGGGACUGAGAUACGGCCCAGACUCCUACGGGAGGCAGCAGUGGGGAAUAUUGCACAAUGGGCGGAAGCCUGAUGCAGCAACGCCGCGUGCGGGAUGACGGCCUUCGGGUUGUAAACCGCUUUCGCCUGUGACGAAGCGUGAGUGACGGUAAUGGGUAAAGAAGCACCGGCUAACUACGUGCCAGCAGCCGCGGUGAUACGUAGGGUGCGAGCGUUGUCCGGAUUUAUUGGGCGUAAAGGGCUCGUAGGUGGUUGAUCGCGUCGGAAGUGUAAUCUUGGGGCUUAACCCUGAGCGUGCUUUCGAUACGGGUUGACUUGAGGAAGGUAGGGGAGAAUGGAAUUCCUGGUGGAGCGGUGGAAUGCGCAGAUAUCAGGAGGAACACCAGUGGCGAAGGCGGUUCUCUGGGCCUUUCCUGACGCUGAGGAGCGAAAGCGUGGGGAGCGAACAGGCUUAGAUACCCUGGUAGUCCACGCUGUAAACGGUGGGUACUAGGUGUGGGGUCCAUUCCACGGGUUCCGUGCCGUAGCUAACGCUUUAAGUACCCCGCCUGGGGAGUACGGCCGCAAGGCUAAAACUCAAAGGAAUUGACGGGGCCCCGCACAAGCGGCGGAGCAUGCGGAUUAAUUCGAUGCAACGCGUAGAACCUUACCUGGGUUUGACAUGGAUCGGGAGCGCUCAGAGAUGGGUGUGCCUCUUUUGGGGUCGGUUCACAGGUGGUGCAUGGCUGUCGUCAGCUCGUGUCGUGAGAUGUUGGGUUAAGUCCCGCAACGAGCGCAACCCUUGUUCACUGUUGCCAGCACGUUAUGGUGGGGACUCAGUGGAGACCGCCGGGGUCAAC